GCAUCUAUAUUUAAAUGGUUAAAGUGUCACAAACGAUAAUUGCUGAAUUCAUAAGUUCAAUUCCUAGUAGAUGCA
rnacentral:tRNA from 1 species